UUUGGCAGCGGCGAUGCGGUUCCGAUUGCCGCCAGGCAGCACAAUACUCCCAACGCUAUCACCAACUUCAUUUUUCUGGAAAACGAAAAAAAACUAAUUGAGGAAAGUAAUUAAGAAGAAAAUAUCAGAUUAAUCGAUUAAUGAAAGUAGAGAUUUUACAAUAGAUUACUGUCGUUACAAUUCUAUUUAUCCUCAUAAGAAUGCAAGCAUCGUUGCAUAAUAUAUGAAGAUAUCGUUAACUGAAUUACGAGAAUAAAGGAAGAACGUAACCACGAGAAACAUAAUUUUCCCAGGACCAACAAAGAGUUUCAUUUGACACUGGAAUUAUUCUGACCUUCGACUGGCGACAUCAGGAUUCCCAUGCAGUCGUAUUCUCACGGCUAACGGAAUAGAGAAAUCAAAAGGAUAAGGGAAGAAACCAGGAAAUUCACGACUAAUUCUCUUAGUGUGAAAAUGAAGAAAGUAAAUAGGGAAACAAAAGAAAUAAAAAUACAAACGCAUUGAUCUUUCUUCGAGGAUAAAGAAAGAGAGGAGAAAAAUAAUAAGAAACGAAGUGCCCAUAUACGUAUAAUGUAAUUCGAUGUUCCAUUAUCUUUCCCCAAAAAGAAGUGAGAGAAAAGAGGAACAUGAAAUUCACGAGAAAUUCAUCAUUAAAAAGUGCAUCCAUUUGUUUCAAACAGAAAGAAACAAAAAGAGGAAAACUGAAAGAACGAAGACCACCAAAAAUUCGCUUACUAUUUAUGUACGAGAUAGAUAUGCAGUAUUUAGCUUUUAUUAGAAGUUUAUACGAAUGUUCUAGUUAUUAUUUAUAGCUAUUUUAGUUAUUCACGAUUGCAGAUAGUGGAGUUCCCUAUUACAUUAAUCCGUAAGAAGUAUCGUUUCUUUACAUUAGAUAUCUUGGGUGCAAAUAAGCUGUCGAUAUCAAUCUUCAUUUUGUAUAAUUGUUGUCAUUGUUCUACUAACUUUAUCAAUACAUAUUUUAGAGAAAUCCCUAUCAUAAUGAAUCUCAUUCAAGAAUUCAAAGAAAAUUCCCCAUCCAAAAAAAAGUCCAGAGGAACCAUGCAUUGCCUAUUAGAUAAUAAUCUAAUACUGAACCAAACUCCUGUUAUAUGUACUUCCAAAAUCCAAGUAACUUCCUCAUCUUCGUCCCUAAAUCGCGUUAGCGCAAUGGAUCGUAUUCAAGCUUUGGUUGACAAAAUGUGAGAAAUAUAAUAAAUAAGCUAUGGGUGUUUACGCGUUUAAGAACAUUAAUCUGUAAAAAUGUACAGAAUGCACAUAGUGUGCAAAAAUAUUGCGAAAAGUGAAGUUAUCAUAAGAUUUAGACGUUGAAACGGAUCUUUGUUUAAGUUCCACUUGCUUAGUUAGAUCCAGAAAAAUACAAAUUUCGAUAAAAAUCCGUAGCUGAACAGUAGAAGGUCCCCUAUGCGAUAACAACUAAUAUCGGUUCGCAAACUAUCACAACGAGUUACCGAGGUUACCACAUGACAAGAGCUAAGCCACUAUCGUUGCACACAGCAUCACUGCUAAGAUUCUCUCGAAACAUAUUGGUAGAGUCUUCGAUCCGUGACAUUAUACGUAUACAUCCACCGAUGGAACCGAAUCCGUUUCGAUCGUCGAAAGAGGGUAACUGCGCCACGUUUGCCCACUUGCUCCACGAAUUUCCACGAACGUCCACGAAUCGAAGAAGAGGGUUGAAGAUUAGAACUCCGAUAAGGGAGGUUCGUUAAGCUGACUUCCUUCGACUCACCUCACUUCCCGCUUCUUUUUUCGUUGUUCGACGAAGGAUAAUGGUUCCCGUUCAAGUGAAGCGUAUGUGUCCAGGUCGUUCAACGACACGAGUUCUCCGUGAUAUCCACCGAGCGACCCGGUGA